CCUCUGUUCCAUAAAGAUUGG
rnacentral:miRNA from 1 species